GAUGAAGAACGCAGCGAAAUGCGAUAAGUAGUGUGAAUUGCAGAAUUCAGUGAAUCAUCGAAUCUUUGAACGCACAUUGCGCCCUGUGGUAUUCCUUAGGGCAUGCCUGUUCGAGCGUCAUUUAAACCUUCAAGCUAAGCUUGGUGUUGGGUGACUGUCCGCUUCACGGCGGACUCGCCUCAAAAUUAUUGGCGGCCGGUACAUUGGCUUCGAGCGCAGCAGAAACGCGAACUCGGGCCCGUCGUAUUGGCUCCCAGAAGCUAUCUUCACAAUUUUGACCUCGGAUCAGGUAGGGAUACCCGCUGAACUUAAGCAUAUCAAUAAGCGGAGGA
rnacentral:misc_RNA from 1 species